rnacentral:tRNA from 1 species
UCCCUAGUGGUUCAGAUGGUAAAGCAUCUGCCUACAAUGCAGGAGACCUGGGUUCGAUCCCUGGGUUGGGAA